GGCGCACGGGUGCGUAACGCGUAUGCAACCUGCCUUGUACAGUGAGUGAUAGCCCAUGGAAACGUGGAUUAAUACUCCAUAGUAUUGUAGAAUCGCAUGGAUUUACAAUUAAAAUUUCGAUGGUACAAGAUGGGCAUGCGUAGGAUUAGCUAGUAGUGUGAGGUAAGUGGCUCACCUAGUGCGACGAUCCUUAGGGGUUCUGAGAGGAUUAUACCCCCACACUGGUACUGAGACACGGACCAUGACUCCUACGUGGAGUGCAGCAGUGAGGAAUAUUGGUCAAUGGGCGAGAGCCUGAACCAGCCAUCCCGCGUNGCAGGAUGACGGCCCUAUGGGUUGUAAACUGCUUUU
rnacentral:rRNA from 1 species